UACGGAGGGGGCUAGCGUUGUUCGGAAUGACUGGGCGUAAAGCGCGCGUAGGCGGACCUGCAAGUCGGGGGUGAAAGCCCGAGGCUCAACCUCGGAACUGCCUUCGAUACUGCGGGUCUCGAGUCCGGGAGAGGUGAGUGGAAUUCCUAGUGUAGAGGUGAAAUUCGUAGAUAUUAGGAAGAACACCAGUGGCGAAGGCGGCUCACUGGCCCGGUACUGACGCUGAGGCGCGAAAGCGUGGGGAGCAAACAGG
rnacentral:rRNA from 1 species